rnacentral:lncRNA from 1 species
AUAAGUUGUAACUUCUAAUCUGAUCCUCCACUUGAUGUGAAAUUUUGUAUGCAAUUGUCAAUGUAAGCCUUUUAUACGCUUAAGAAUUUUCAGCCCAUUCCAACUUACGGAUUGUGAAAAAACCUCCAAAAACUACACUAAUGUCACUCGGCCACCAACUUGAAAGGUGAAGCAAAAAUUCUAGCAAUGAUUUCUCCUUCUCCAACUGUUUACUUUGACUCAAAAUUGGUGUGCAACUUGAUCUUCAAGUCUUUCAAUACCUUACCAAAUUUCACCUUGA